CGGACGGGUGAGUAAUGUAUGGGGAUCUGCCUGAUGGCGGGGGGUAACUACUGGAAACGGUAGCUAAUACCGCAUAAUGUCUGCGGACCAAAGCGGGGGACCUCCGGGCCUCGCGCCAUCAGAUGAACCCAUAUGGGAUUAGCUAGUAGGUAAGGUAACGGCUUACCUAGGCGACGAUCCCUAGCUGGUCUGAGAGGAUGACCAGCCACACUGGAACUGAGACACGGUCCAG
rnacentral:rRNA from 1 species